rnacentral:lncRNA from 1 species
AUGAAUGUAGAGUAUAGAGUAGGAGUGAAGUCUUUGAACAAUCACAUGAUAUACUUAGUUAACCAAGAUUAACGUAUUACUGGCAUGUGAGUAAACAUGUCAAACCAUCGUGUACCGCAAUGUUGACUACCCCACAUCGUCGCAACGAAAAGGGUGUAAUGUUGUUAACUUAACAUGACCACUAGAAUACGGGCGGUGCGCUACUCCUAUAGCGCUACACAAGCGUUAUACAUGUUAAGGUGUGGCUUCUUGCGAAGUUAAUGACAGGUUUAUCACAUAAGAAUGUUCCAGAAAUCCCGAAUCAAGUAUAACUAGCAUUAGCAUAUGUAAAAAAAAUCAUUGAACAAUCCACACGACAUACUUUAGUUAAUCAAGAUUAACGCAUUACUGGCAUGCGAAUAAACAGGUCAAUCCAUCGUGUACCGCAAAAUGUCUUAACAUGACCUCAAGAAUACGGGCGGGCGCUACUCCUAUAGCGCUACACAAGCGCUAUACAUGUUAAGUUGUGGCUUUGAUCAAAUUAAUGACAAGUUUAUCACAUAAGAAUCACCCAGUAAUCCCGAACCAAGUAUAACUAUUAGUAUGUAUGUAUUGAAUGGUUGGAUGAUAAUUCGAUUUUAGUAUAACAUUGGUUUUGAAAUGAACGAGAUAACAAGUAUUAAAUCACAUAAAUGUUGAGAUAGCAUAAAAGAGGGGUUUGAUAAAAUAUUGGAACGUUUCGGGUUUAGAAACUUCGACUAUUCCAAAGUGACCCGUAAGUCCUUUCGAAUUACGGAGGCAUGCUUUGGCCUAAUAGGUAAAAUACUCUCGUCGACAGGCGAGUAGCGGUAUUUUACCCUUCUGGUUAAUACAUGUCCCUAAUUCGAUCGAAAAUACGAAACUUUGACGAGAUUGAAAAUCGAAGAAUGGAACCAGUCAUCAAGGUGUGGAUAUCAAUCCUAGCUUGACAAUUUCGUCCCCAUAAUGUGGUUUAUUGAACGAAACAAGAUAUGAUCUUGAGUCGUCAACAGGGAUCCACGAGAAUAUAAAGUGGAAAUUUCCAUCAAGAUAGGGAUGUCACUCCUGACUUGGUGGUAAAUUUCGUGCAAAAUAACAUGAUGGAUAGAUUGAAAUUCGUCACCAAAGGCGGGAUUCACCCCUAUUUUGAUGAGUCGUUUGGAUUGUGGAAUAUGAGCGUCUUCAAGUCCUUAGCGUGUAAUUUGCGUAUAAUCCCUUAGGAUGAACGAAUCGUUUAAUUAUGACGAAAAAAAUAGAAAGAAGCAAAGUAGGAAGAAU